rnacentral:lncRNA from 1 species
UGUCUGCCUGAUCUGUAUGUACAAUUCCAUACCAGCUGUGUACACCAUCUUUUCACUGCCAGUGAUCAAUGGAUGUAGAAGGGAUGGCACUGCUCUGUGGUGAACCUGGACCUGUGACUUUGCUCCAUCAGGGAUGGGUAGCACCAUGGAAACCCCAAGUGGCAAAGCCAAAACACAAGCUCCUACCUUCUGUUUACUCAAAGGCCAAUGUGGCCCACAGGCAGACCAAAAGGCCCAACUUUUGACCCUUCUCUCCACCAACACAUUGUUUAUCUUGUAGUAACAUCUGCCUCAGUUUCCUCAUCCAGAAGAGGGAGUGAUAACAAGCAUUGACAGAGGCAAUGAGGAUGCACAAUGCACAGGAAGGUGUGUAAAGCACAUAGAAAGGGUUCCUCCUGCACUGUCUUGGUGGACACAGAACUACCUGCCUCUGUAUCAGCACUUUUUCAGCAGCCAACAGACUCAAGGCAUAACAAAAUCCUGGUGUGGGGACAGAAGGAGGAAGCUGAGCAUAAAGCGGAAGCCUACCAUUUCUAUACAGGCAACUUCAGUACGUAUCUGUGGAAAGCAACAACUAUCCUCCAGCAGAUGUUAGUAACAGGGGUCUGACAACUCCGACUGCAGAUCGCAAAUUAAAUUUUUUGUACAGACCCUCCACGAAGCUGCUUCUGCUCCUCAGUGAAAAGAGAAUACUAAGGAAGUACCGAGCACUGCAGACAGUUUUUCAGAGUUGAAGGGGUG